rfam:Myotis davidii contig97161, whole genome shotgun sequence.
UGCAGUUCUCAGGUGAUGCACCCAGAACCAGAGAGGAGAGAGCCUGAUUCCAGGGUGCAUCACCCGAGAACCGCC